GCUUCUGUAGCUCAGUGGUAGAGCACUCCCUUGGUAAGGGAGAGGUCAUCAGUUCGAACCUGAUCAGAAGCUCCA
rnacentral:tRNA from 1 species